rnacentral:rRNA from 1 species
ACGCGAAAGUCUCUUCGGAGAUGAGUAGAGUGGCGCACGGGUGAGUAACGCGUGGAUAAUCUACCUAUUGGUACGGGACAACAGUUGGAAACGACUGCUAAUACCGUAUAAGCUGGAAACGGGAAAGGGGGCCUCUUCUUGAAAGCUCUCGCCAGUAGAUGAGUCCGCGUUUCAUUAGCUAGACGGUGGGGUAACGGCCUACCGUGGCAACGAUGAAUAGCAGGCCUGAGAGGGUGGCCUGCCACACUGGGACUGGAACACGGCCCAGACUCCUACGGGAGGCAGCAGUGGGGAAUAUUGCGCAAUGGACGAAAGUCUGACGCAGCGACGCCGCGUGGAGGAUGAAGGUUUUCGGAUCGUAAACUCCUGUCAAGAGGGAAGAAACCUAUUAAGAAUAAUACUCUUAGUAAUUGACGGUACCUCUAGAGGAAGCACCGGCUAAUUCAGUGCCAGCAGCCGCGGUAAUACUGAAGGUGCAAGCGUUAAUCGGAAUCACUGGGCGUAAAGCGCUCGUAGGUGGCUUUGUAAGUCAGAUGUGAAAGCCCACGGCUCAACCGUGGAAUUGCAUUUGAUACUGCAUCGCUAGAGUAUAGGAGAGGGAAGUGGAAUUUCUGGUGUAGGAGUGAAAUCCGUAGAGAUCAGAAGGAACACCGGUGGCGAAGGCGACUUCCUGGACUAUUACUGACACUGAGGAGCGAAAGCGUGGGGAGCAAACAGGAUUAGAUACCCUGGUAGUCCACGCCGUAAACGAUGGGUACUAAGUGUCGGAGGCUUGACCUUCGGUGCUGUAGUUAACGCGUUAAGUACCCCGCCUGGGGA